GAUAUUCCUGUCUUCUGGCAAUGACGGUUUGGCCAUGGAAUUCACACUCAUUCUAACCUGGCCACUUGAGAAAGUUUGAAAUUUCUAAGGUUUUGUUAUUGUAAGAGGUGACCAGAUGUUCCAAACAUCAAGCUAUACAGGAAGCUCUCCACCCACUCCAAAUGUCAUGCUGAGUUCUCAACAGACUUCCCUUUCCCGUUUCCUUUUUCCCCUCUCUCUGAUUUUUUUCUUCAAAGUCUAUUCAAAAGCUGCUGCCAAAACCAUCUUCCUCUAUUGUUGUUCUGAUGACAUCAUUCCCUUCCCCAGCUCCCCUUGUCUUUGGUCUCAUGACCACAGUUUGCCUUCAUUUCCUUGGGCUGCCACUGUGCCUGCCUCUACCUCCUUUCCCCCUGAUUUCCCGCUGCUUCUCACCAACUGUGACGCAGGAUUAUCACUGCUGAUGUCCCAGUGCUGAGGUAUCUAUUAUCUUCUAACAAAGAAGAGUAUUCCCAUUCCACUACCCAGACUUUCCCAGGUCUCUUCUAAACUCAUUUUAUUUAUGUAUUCAUUGCUCACGAGUAUACUAAGCACCUUCUGCAUGUGUUCUAGGUA
rnacentral:lncRNA from 1 species